rnacentral:rRNA from 1 species
GAUGGACGCUGGCGGCGUGCCUAAUACAUGCAAGUCGAGCGAACGGACGAGAAGCUUGCUUCUCUGAUGUUAGCGGCGGACGGGUGAGUAACACGUGGAUAACCUACCUAUAAGACUGGGAUAACUUCGGGAAACCGGAGCUAAUACCGGAUGAUAUUUUGAACCGCAUGGUUCAAAAGUGAAAGACGGUCUUGCUGUCACUUAUAGAUGGAUCCGCGCUGCAUUAGCUAGUUGGUAAGGUAACGGCUUACCAAGGCAACGAUGCAUAGCCGACCUGAGAGGGUGAUCCGCCACACUGGAACUGAGACACGGUCCAGACUCCUACGGGAGGCAGCAGUAGGGAAUCUUCCGCAAUGGGCGAAAGCCUGACGGAGCAACGCCGCGUGAGUGAUGAAGGUCUUCGGAUCGUAAAACUCUGUUAUUAGGGAAGAACAUAUGUGUAAGUAACUGUGCACAUCUUGACGGUACCUAAUCAGAAAGCCACGGCUAACUACGUG